GUUGAAGACCUUAUUUCAGUCUCGAUUUGUGCCACCGACCCAACAAAGACAGUGAAAGUAGGCUCCAACCUCUCGGAGGAACAAAGAGAGAAGCUCAUCACAUUCCUACGCGAGCACCACGAUGUAUUCGCUUGGUCCUACUCGGAUAUGCCGGGUAUCCCACCUUCCCUCUCUUGUCACAAACUCAAUGUCAGCCCGCAUAAUAAACCGGUCAAACAGAAGCGUCGCGCCUUCAACCAAGAGAGGUAUGAUGCAAUUGAACAAGAGGUAGACCGCCUAUUAGCAGCAAGGUUUAUCCGGGAAGCAGUGUACCCUGAUUGGGUAUCCAACGUUGUUCUAGUCAAGAAAUCAAACGGAAAGUGGCGCAUGUGUGUGGACUUCACUGAUUUGAACAAGUCCUGCCCCAAGGAUAGCUUCCCGCUUCCUCAGGUGGACCAGCUGGUUGAUGCAACAGCGGGGCAUGAGAUGCUUAGUUUUAUGGACGCCUUCUCCGGGUACAACCAAAUUCCAAUGUAUGAACCCGAUCAAGAGAAAACGGCUUUCAUCACCAAUCGUGGAUUAUACUGUUAUAAGGUUAUGCCGUUCGGUUUGAAGAAUGCCGGGGCUACCUAUCAACGGCUGGUGAACAAAAUUUUCAAGGAACAAAUCAGGCGCACCAUGGAGGUGUACAUAGACGAUAUGAUCACCAAAUCGGUGCAUGCGGGGGAACACUUGGGGCACCUCAGAGAUACCUUUACCGUUUUGAGAAAACACCAUAUGCGGCUUAACCCUGAAAAGUGUGCAUUCGGGGUCACCUCGGGAAAAUUUCUUGGGUUCAUGGUACAACAGCGGGGGAUUGAAGCCAACCCCGAUAAAAUUCGCGCGGUUCUUGACAUGAAAUCGCCAAGCACCAUUAAGGAGGUUCAAAGUUUGGCGGGCCGGGUAGCUGCUCUGAGCCACUUCAUCUCCAAGGCUACUGACCGGUGUAAGCCUUUUUUCAAAGCUUUGAAGACUGGCAAGAAGCUCCAGUGGACACCCGAUUGCGAAGAGGCUUUCCAAGAACUGAAGUGGUACCUCGUGAAUGCUCCACUACUUGCCAAACCUGAGCCGGGAGAGGUGCUUUUGUUGUAUCUCGCCGUAUCUGAGCAUGCCACCAGCUCUGUGUUACUCCGAGAGGAUGAUAAUGGGGUACAACGACCUAUUUACUACACUAGUAAGGCUAUGGUUGAUGCCGAAAAGAGGUACCCCACCUCUGAGAAGAUCAUUUUGGCAUUGGUGGUCUCCGCACGGAAGCUCAGACCAUAUUUUCAGGCUCACACCAUUGCGGCCGUCACCAACCUUCCCCUCCGGCAAAUCCUCCAGAAGUUAGACAUGUCCGGAAGGCUUCUCCGAUGGUCCCUCGAAUUAAACGAGUUCGACAUCAUCUUCAAGCCUCGUUUGGCUAUUAAAGCACAAGCCAUUACUGAUUUUAUUGCGGAAUUCGCCAAUGACUCAAGUGGUGAAGGUGACUUGAGAUACCUGUUAGAUACCUCACCCACCGAUGAAGGGGGGCAGGUCUGGGAAAUAUAUGUAGACGGUUCCUCUAACUCACAUGGAAGUGGUGCAGGAGUUAUUAUAAUCGACCCGAAUAAGGUGAAAAUAUGUUACGCCUUGCAAUUUGGAUUCAAGGCUUCAAACAACGAAGCCGAAUACGAGGCCAUCAUAGCGGGGUUGAGGAUGUCGAAGGCUUUGGGAGCAAAAAGGGUACACGUCAAGAGUGACUCCCAGUUGGUGGUAAGCCAAAUUACCGCACAAUAUCAAGCGAAAGAGGAAAACAUGAAAGGGUACCUCGGGAAAACCAGAGAGUUGAUGUCCCAAUUUUGUGAGGUUAAGGUGGAAAGGGUACCCCGACUGGAGAAUAGCGAAGCCGACACCCUGGCGAAAAUGGCAUCCCUUGGGGGUAGCCCAGUCAUCUGGUCCCAUCACAACAGAACAUAUACCCGCACCCAGUGUCGGUCUCCCAGAGCCAUUGGAAGUAGGAUCGCUGUCCAACGAGGUGCUUUGGAUGGAGCCUAUCAUAAGGUACCUCAAGGACGGAGACCUCCCCUCAGAUAAAAGUGAAGCAAGGAGAUUAAAGUAUAAAGUCGCCCGGUAUUGCCUGAUCCAGGAUACCCUAUACAGAAGAGGUUUCACUCUUCCUUACCUUAAAUGCUUGGGAAGCGACGAGGCCGAGUAUGUCAUGAGGGAGAUACAUGAGGGGAUUUGUGGCAAUCACUAUGGAGCACAAUCAUUGGCGCAAAAAGCCCUCCGUCAGGGGUACUACUGGCCAACUAUACGGGAAGAUGCCAAGAAUAUGGUACGAAACUGUGACAAAUGCCAAAGGUUCGCCAGGGUACCCCACCUACAAAAUGGGCGGAAGCAGAGCCACUAACAAGCAUCACAGAAAGGAAAACCACCGAAUUCAUUUGGAAAAACCUCAUUUGCAGAUUUGGAAUCCCCUAUGCAAUUGUCAGUGAUAAUGGUAAGCAAUUCGAUAAUGAAAAAUUUCGAAGCUUUUGUUCGGAGUUGGGGAUAACCAACCGAUUUGCUACACCUACUCACCCCCAAUCUAAUGGGCAAGUCGAAGCCGUUAACAAGAUUAUCAAAGGUAUCCUGAAGAAGAAGCUAGAAGAAAGAAAAGGAGCAUGGGUAGACGAGCUACCUGGGGUACUGUGGGCGUACCGAACUACUCAAAACACCUCCACCAGGGAGACCCCGUUUUCCCUCGCAUUCGGUGUUGACGCAGUGAUUCCAGCAGAAAUUGGGGUACCCUCUCACAGGGUUGAAUACUUUGAUGAGGCCGAGAACACCUCCUUGGUUGCUUCAAACCUUGAUUUAGUGGCUGAAAAAAGAGCUAGAGCAGAACUGAGGACAACCAUAUAUCAGCAUCGCAUUUCGGGUCUAUACGAAAAAAGGGUACGCCCUCGGUCAUUCAAGAAAGGAGACUUGGUCUUGAGAAGGGUAACUCAGAACACUAGGGUACCCUGCGAAGGCGCUUUUGGGGCAAAUUGGGAAGGACCUUACCGCAUCGACAAACCCGUUGGGACAGGUGCAUACAGGCUACUCCACAUGGAUGGCACAAUUGUGAGGCACCCCUGGAACGCUGCAAUGCUACGGAAAUAUUACUAAAGGACAGUGUCUCAACCUUUAGUCUUUUGCUGUUAUUUGCUUUCUUUAAUGUUUUUGUGUGGUAGGCCAAAUAGGGUACCCCAAAUGCCCUAUGUUGGUCAGUUGCAACUUUAGAGUUUCUUUAAUUGUCAAAUGAAAGGGAUAGGAGGUCUUGCGGUCUCCCAUUCUCCUCAGGGUAACAAAGCUAAGUCAUGUAUUGAUCAACGCUUUCGUUAUCUAUAAAUGCAUGUUCUUUCUCAACAAAUAUAAUGUGGGUUCUUUAUUUAUUUUUCUCUACUUCGAUCUUAGAGUGCGGAUUAUAUUCAUUUAUCGCCAUUAAUAUACCCUCGCAUCUGGUAAUAUGCAAUUCUCACCAUACGUUUGUCAAUUAUGACUAACAUAUCGCAGGACCAGCCAGGGUACCUGAUAUGCCCAGAUCGUGACGAUCUAUGUAAACCCAAGAUGGGCAACGGAGGGAACAGCCCGGGGGUAGCCUUUCUGCGGAAGCAUGAUAAAGCUACCUAAACAAAGAGAGGGAGGGUCAGAGAGGACCCGAGGGUGAAGAAAAACCGGCAUACCCUAGCGGCACGAAGUUCGGCUUAGGUAUGAGAACACCCACACCUCCGUCCUCGUACUUUUGCAAAGUAUGGGGUAAGCUAUUCAAAAAAUUCGGAGAAAACUUCGAAAGAAUAAGAAAGUGAUUGGUUGGACCAAUUGCGCUUUCAACGUUUGAUCGAGAUGUCGCGAUGAUAUUUUGAUUACCUAUUUGUGGGGAAUCUGCCAUAGUUUCCGAGAAGGACAUGCACCACAUUUUUAGGGAAUCCGCCUGAUGUUGGAUAUUUGUUAAGGUACCAGGGGUACCCCAUUUCAAAAAAAAAAAAAAAGAGGUACCCUAGACAUUUACAAGGUAACAGUUUAGUCAAGCAUUCAUUUGCAGAAUAACAAGCAUGCAAAGUACAAGAGAACUCGAUGGCAUGGUAUCAUAACAAAAGAGAAGUCCCAAUAAUACAAAAUAUCUCGAGAAACCAAAAAGAAAGAAACAAGGUCCAAAUAGCAAAAUGUGGAUAGGUCCGAAAAAAAAAAAAAAACAAGAGCACAGUAAGAAGGCUACACCGAGGGGGGAACGACAUCCCCAACAUCCGUCUCCAGAGGGCGAUCAGUAGAGGACUCCGAGGUACCCGGAAUAUGAGCAGCCGAACUAGGGGCAUCCGAAGCAGGCAACGGCUGAAGCUGAUGGGGUACCCGAGGCGACCCGGAGGGGGUACCCGACCGUGCCUGGGAAGGCUUCUUCCUCUCUGCAAUUGUCUUCAGAAUCGUAGCCUUGUUGACAAAUUUCUGCACCCGGGGUACCUCCAACUCCGGAUCCACACUCCACACCUCCGUCAUGAUGAGUGAGAAUGCAUCCUCUGCCAUCGUCUUUUGCCGAGAUAGCAGAUCCCCGUUGGUGGCCCUCAACUCCUCACAGUCCUUCUCCACCUUAGCUUUCUCUCCCGACAGGCCAGCAAUGCGUUCUUGCAGAGUUUUAACUUCUCGAGCAAGCUGAUCCUCGUGAGACUGACGGCUUUGGAGCUCACCCCUUAACUUGUCGACCUCUGACUGGGCGGCAACGAGAGAGUCAAGGUCUGGAAGGCAGUGGCUGAGGAGAAAAGAUGCCUGCGGGUCAUAAAAGACACGUUAAAUAUAUACGUGUGGCAAUAGGAUCAAGUAAAAAAAAAUUUUUUUUUGAAGGGUACACCCGGGGUACCCCGGGAAAGCCUACCUCUUGGGUAGCCCUAAGUGCUUGACCAUAGCGUUGGCUCAAACUCAUCUUGUCAGUCUCCUCAGCAACCUCGGAGGUAACAUUUUCAGCGGAGUAGUAGAAACAGCGAGCCAAGUGCGAAACCUCCUUGUUGGAAGCCGGGUCUAGGUCAUUUUCGCGCAACUCCUCAGGGAAAGCGGAAACCAGCCCGAAUUUUCUCUUCUUCGAGCGAGGGGUACCCUUCGACCCGCUGUGGGAGGUACCCUGAGACUUCCCCUUCGGACCGGGAGCUCGAGGAGGUCGGGAGCCUUUCGGGGGUACCGCCGAAUCCUGAGAUCCGGAAGCACCGCCCACUACCGCCUGGAAAAAGGCGUCGAAAGCGUCACCCGUCGAUUCCAUGACUGCACCCAAUGCACAAAAGUUAUGUUAGCUGGACAAGUACUAAGUACUGCAAAAGUAAAAAAUAGGAAAUGGAAAGCGGGGACGCGAAACGAAGAAUGCAAUGCUAAUGGGGUACCCCAGUCCCAUAAGUAAUAAUAGGAUACCCCCCGACACCCAAAUCAUACAUGAGUUACCCCCAGGAGCAGGCGGAGGACUUCGGUCAAUCAGCCCCGCUCUCCACAAUCGGCUCUCAUCUAGCACAUCACUACCCCUCUGUGCACCUCGAAGCCUGUCCACAAACUUCUUCACCUCUCUCCCCACCUCCUGAACUGGGCAUGAUCCUUUAGCCCAUGUCACACCUGCGAAAGCAUAAAGAACUCAAGGUUAGCGAGACAUUCAGGCGAAAGAUUCCGAUAAAGAACCAUAAGUAAGGGAGAUACUUACAGUCUACAUUGAAGGAAUAAGGAACCUCCACGGGGUCGCCCUUCUCACCCAGAGUCUCUGCCCCCCACCUACCCUCAGCGACAAACCAUCCCUUUCGGUAACUCUUCUUCAAGGCGGGGUUCCCCUCAACGAUGUGGCCAUGAUCACCCUAGGGGGAGAAGUAAGCAAUGCCGGGACCCUUAGGUUUCUUGAAUUGGUAAAGGCCCCUCAACUCCCGAACAGAAAUGUCGCGCUUCACGACCUCCAACCAUAACACAUGUAAGCCCGUCAGUGUCCUCCACCCUGGAAGAGACAGCUGCCCAGGAUCUACCCCCAAAUAACUAAACAUUUUCAUAAAGAAUGGUUGGAGGGGCAGGCGGAGUCCUAGAUCGAAGAGGUCGAUAUGGAGAGCAAUCCCAUCAGACUGUGGACACUCGGGUCUCUCAUCCACAUGGGGUACCCUGAGCUGGACAGACGGAGGAAUAUUGUAUUUGGCUCUAAUUUGCUCUAAGUCCCCCAAAGUAGCCCUCUUAAUGCUUAGGGAAAAAGGGUUGCUAGAUUUUGAAGGUGUGGCAGGGGGAGAUUUAGGCGGCUGGUCCGAGGAACGAGCUGGAACCUUAGGCUUGGUUGACUUACCCUUCUUUCGAGGAUUGGGGGUAGGCCGUUUACUAGGAAAGCGUGGGCUGACACGAGGGGUACUCCUAGAGGGAGGGGGCUCAGAACGAGAAUUACAAUUCUUGGAGGAACUAGGAGGGGACCGAUCCCCCUCACUAAUGGAGAUGUGGGAAGGGGAAUCCGCAGGAGGGCUGUCAACCCUACUAGCCCCAACUUUACGUCGCUUCAUCACGGGUCCCGUGUGUUUCUUACCCAUCUACUUUCCCCCAACAAUACACCCAACGAUACACCCAACAACACAUCCACAAGCCCCCAACAACACAUCCAACAAGCCACAUGUUUUCCCAACAGCAACAUAUCCAUACCAAGCACUAUCCAUCACACAUCAACCACCAAAUGCAAACACCAACCAACAAAAAAAACAAAAACAACAAAAACAAAAAUAAAUUUUUCUCAGAGUAUGCAAAAUAGCGCCACUGUGAAUGCGCCAAAAGAAGAGAAACAAGGAGGGAUACCUAUGAUUCACCAAUUCGACAGAUCAGGAUUGACAAUCGCGGGGAGACGAAGCUGCAGGCAACCAAAAACAGUGGGUAAAAUAUGCAAGUAUAAAAAUAAAGAAUAAAGCUUAAAUAUAUGUACUUAUUUAUAAAUAAGUAAAUAAAUAAAAUGAAGAACGAAGAAGCUGCAAUAACCGGCGUCGGCUGUAAUGGCUGCAACCACCGAGAACCGACGUCGACCACCGCAUCCACCGAACCGACGCCGAUCGCCGCAGCUGCCGCCACCAAGAAGAACUGACGCUGGAAAAAUGCAAAGGAGGACGUCGGCCGAAAAAAAAAAAAACUGAGAAGCUGCAGCCGCUAAACUAACUCCGGAAACCACCAAACCGACACCGGCUGCCACGGCUGCAGCCACCGAACCGACGCCGGCCGCAACCACACCAAACCGACGCCGGAAAUCACAAAGAAAAACACAAGCCGAAACGAAAAAGAGAAAAGAAAAAAAGAGAAGAAAAAGAGAGAAGACAAGGGAAGGAAGAGAGAAAGCACCAAGGGAAAAAUGAAGAAACGAUGAAGGAGGGGUUACCGUGUGUAUCGCCGGACUGAGAUCUCGCCGUGAGCCGCCGGAAAUCGCCUUGAACCGACCAGAUCUGGAGCCCAAAACCGCCACUGCAGCAGCCGCGAUCCACGCCGGAAAACGUACUAGAUCAACGCCGGCCGAGAGAGAAAGAGAAAAAAGAAUGAAAGAAAAGGAAGAAGGAAAAGAGAGAAAAAGGAAGGAGAAACGUGAGAAAGAAAAGGGAGAAAGAAAAUGGGAAAGAAAGAAAACGGAAGAAGAAAGAAAUAAAAGAAAAAGAGUAAAGGGAGAAUAGAGCCUAGGGAAGAUGAACGAGCGUAAAUUUAUUAAUUUCGUUCUACUAAUUUAAGUUAAGUUUAUUGAGUAUUCCAGUUAUUUUAAGCUAAAAUGGACAUUUUCAUAAUUUUAUCACAUAAUCAAACGAAUAAGUGUAUAUUUUAAGAUGGUAAAGAUAGUCAAUAGGUAAACUUAAAGGAAAAACUAAUGGCAAGGUUGGUUUAAUGAGUUUUCAAAAUAUUGGUGGUGGAAUAACGAUAAUUAAUUUAUUUAGGUGUGCAAUUGAAUUUUGAUAUGUACUAGUGGUGCAAAAAAAUAAUAAAUUCAAGUUGAGUCAAAGGCAUGGUAAGAACGCAGACUCCCCAAAGCCCACGACAUAGAUUAUCUAAUGAUUUUUUUAAUUUAUAAAAUUAAAAAAAGAGUUAAUGUUGACUUCGUUUUACCCCAAAAAAAAAAAAAAGUAUGACACUAUUAGGCAUCAAUUUCAAAAUAACGCGGUUUGAUCAACUCCAAUUUAUGAUGUUAUUAUCAAAUGAUAAAUUUUUCUAAUUUUUAGAAGUCGUUUCUUAUCAAAUAAUCAGGGAUUGAAAUAAAUAGCAUAAAAUAACAAAAAUAAGAAAGUUAAGUUGAUGUCCACUGAUUUGUGUAAGUAAAAAGUUUGACUCUUAAAAAGACAUUAAUUUCAUGAGAGACAAUAACGCCAUUUUGAUCCUCUCUAUAAUUAAUGAUGUUAUUUUCAAAUAACAAAAUUAUCUAGCUUUUGGAAAUCUUGGAGAGAAACUAAUUUGGUCGGUUUCUUGAUUAAUGAUUUGAUGGUCAUCGAAUAAUGCAUGACUUGGAAAGAUCUUCCCCCGUUCUUCAAGUUAUUAUUUGACUUUGUUAGUAAAAGGCCUAUCAGAAAGGUUUUUAAAUUCUGGUCUUCUGAGAUUAAAUUAAGUCACAGUUUAAGUUAUCUCAAGAAUAUGGGUUUGGUCAAAUUUUUCUCAGUUAUCUCAAUAUUGUUGCUAAUUCAUUGGCUAAUCAAAGACACAGUUGCAAAAAUUCCUCUUGGAGAAAAUUGAGGAAAAUCUUCUUGAAGAUGGCUAAAUUAUAAAAAGAUAGUACAUGGUGGCCGGACGGAUUAUAAAUUAAGUAAAUAUAUCUAACUUCUUUAAAAUUAAAGCUUCAUAAGACAUAACUAAUGCUCUGUAUGAUUUUAUUAUUGGCUUCCGAAAUUGCACGAUAGGACAGCUGAAAGCAUUUUCCAUUUACUACUUCUUCGAAUUGACUGUUAGGAAAUUGGUAAGUGAAGCAGGAUCGCAACUAAAAUAAAAUUGGAAGAAAUAAAGAAUAAGCACAAAAGAGAAUACCAGAAAUAACAUAGUUCAGCUUUUAGCCAACGUCCACGGGCGAAAAUAGAAGGAAAUAUUUUAUUAGUGAAAUAAGGAUUACAAAUGUUGUAAUAUUUUGGCUCACUACCCAAAACCCGAAUACACCCAAUCUCUCACUCACUAAUUACACAAGAGCAUUAAAACUCUUAAUCUCUCACACAAUUCUUUCUCUUUUACAAAACAGAGAAGAGAAACUUAAGGAAAAAAUGGAAUGAAUUUGCUCAUUCUCUUCGUUUCUAUUUAUAGAGAAAGCUUUGGCACUAUUCAUCAAUUAUAUAUUAUUUUUUUCUUUAGACAGCACCUCCCAUUUUUUUUUCUUUCUUUCUUUCUUCUUUUUCUUCUUUCUCUUUUAUUUCCUUCAAUUUGAUUUUGGCUAGGCCACCACCAGCUUUGACAUUUCUCCCGCUUGGAGAUUUGAUUGAGAAUCAAUCAAUCCCCACACCAUCUUUUCUGCUUCGCCAUAAUCAUGUUACCUACGUUUCUGCUAGGCCACAAGAAGAUCUAGUCCAGACAAACUUAUCAGUAUUUAUCGGCUUAGUCAAAACAUCUGCUAGGUUCUCCUUCGUAUGGAUGUUCUGUAAAUCCACAUUUCCGUCUUCCACUACUUCUCGAACGAAGUGAUACUGAACUCCUAUGUGCUUUGUCCUGGAAUGAAAGGCUGGAUUCCUUGCAAUGUGUAAGGCACUCUGACUGUCACAAAACAUAGAAAUUUUCUCUUGUUUGUGCCCGAGCUCCUCCAAUAACCUUUGUAUCCAAAUAACUUCCUUACAAGCUUGUGUAGCUGUCAUGUACUCUACUUCUGUUGUAGAUAAAGCCACAACAGUCUGCAGUUUUGAAACCCAGCUUACAGCUGCUCCCGCAAAUGUAAACACAUAACCAGUAGUGGAUUUUCUUUUGCUCAAGGAUUUUCUUUUAUCAAGAUCUCCUGCAAAAUCUGAAUCCACAUAGCCCCUGACAGUAAAUUCUGAUCCUCCAUAACAUAAUGCAACAUCUAAGGUUCCUCUGAUGUAUCUCAGAAUUCUCUUCACAGCUAUCCAAUGUUCUCCACCCGGAUUUGCCAUGUAUCGACGGACUGCUCCCACUGCUUAUGCAAUGUCCAGUCUAGUACAUAUCAUAGCGAACAUCAAACUUCCCACUGCUGAUGCAUACAGUACUCGAGACAUUUCUUUCCUCUCCGCUUCAUUGCUAGAACACAUACUUGAAUAUAAUUUGAAAUUAACAAGAAGUGGGGUAGAAAUUGACUUACAAUCUUGCAUGUUGAAGCGCCGCAAGAUUUUCUUCAAGUAAUUCUUCUGCGAAAGCCAAAUUUUCCUGUUAUUUUUGUCUCGGUGAAUUUGCAUCCCUAUAAUCUUGUUUGCUGGUCCCAAGUCCUUCAUUUCAAACUCCCUAGCCAACUGUGCCUUCAAUUCUUGGACUCGAUCUUUGUUGGGGCCUGCUACCAACAUGUCAUCCACGUACAACAGUAAAAUAAUGAAAUCAUUAUCUUCAAACCUCUUAUAAUAUGCACAAUGAUCUGAACUGAGUCUAUUGUAUCCAAGGCUUAUAAUGAAGGAAUCAAAUCUCUCAUACCAAUAUCUCGGCGCCUGUUUGAGACCGUAUAGAGAUUUGUUCAACCUGCAAACCAAGUUCUCCUUUCUUUUUUUAUGCAAAACCUUCUGGUUGGAGCAUAUAUAUUUCUUCUUCAAGUUCUCCAUAAAGAAAUGCAGUUUUCACAUCUAACUGCUCUAGAUGUAGGUCAAAUAUAGCACACAUUGUCAACACUACUCUGACUAUUGUGAGUCGAACCACCGGUGAAAAUAUCUCGUUGAAAUCAAUACCUUCUUUCUGAGCAUAUCCUUUCACCACCAAUCUCGCACGAUACCGCUCCACUUGGUCAUUGCCAUCACGUUUGAUCUUGUAGACCCAUUUAUUUCCAAUGGCUUUUCUUCCACGUGGUAGUGGUACAAGUUCCCAUGUCUUGUUCUUGUGUAGAGCUUCAAUUUCUUCCUGCAUUGCUGUCAUCCACAAAGCAACAUCUGAGCUUUCUAAAGCUUCAUAGAAAGUUGAUGGCUCUCCAUCUUCUAUUAGAAGACAAUAUGCAACGUUGAUCUCUGUGACAUACUCUGAGUGCCACGUUGGUGGUCGUCUCUCACGAGUUGAGCGACGAAUUUCUUGAGCCUCGGACUCGACUAGUUCUUGUUCCUCGUGCUCUGGUGCUGCUUCAGAAGAAUCUGAAUCUUCUGGAUUAUUUUCGACAUAUACCGGCACAAUCCCUGACUUUUCUUUUACAGUGCUAUCACCUCCAUCUUUCAUUUGCAGUUGAUCUUCUACAAAAAUAACAUCUCUGCUGAUGACGAUCUUGUGGGCAGUGGGGUCUCACAGACGAUACCCCUUUACUCCAUCAGCAUAUCCCAAGAAGAUACAUCUUUUAGAUUUUGUAUCCAGCUUUGUUCUUUCUUGGGCAUUGUACAUCACGUACACAGGACAUCCAAAUACAUGUAGGUAGGAAUAAUCAGCUGGCUUUCCAGUCUACAUCUCCAUCGCUAUCUUCAGCCCAAUAACUGUAGAUGGCUAUCGAUUUACUAUAUAACAGGCCGUUUUGGUUGGUUCUGCCCAGAAUGAAUUGGGUAAAUCAGUAGUCUUCAACAUAGCUCUUAUUUUUUCUGUAAGAGUUUUGUUCAUCCGCUCCGCCACUCUGUUUUGUUGAGGAGUGUAUGCCACCGUGAACUGCCUCUAAAUAUCUUUUUGCUUACAGAAAGCAAGAAACUCACCGUCUCUAUACUCUCCAUCAUUAUCCGUCCUCAAGCACUUUAUCUUUUUACCAGAUUCAAGUUCCACCCGCGCUUUGUAUUCUUUAAACACUAGAAAUACAUCUAACUUUUUCUUAAUUGGAUACACCCAACAUGUUCUGGAAUAAUCAUCAAUGAAAGUCACCAUGUACUUUGCACAUCCCAUGGAUAUAUCCAGUGAUUCCCAAACAUCAGAAUGAAUCAAGUUUAGAAUGUAUUUACUUAUAGCAAUAGAUCUACUGAAUUUUAAUCUAUGCUGCUUACUUGUAACACAAUACUUGCAAAAUGGUAAACUUACCGAUUUGAGCCCCAGAAGCAAUUUUCGCUCAGAGAGAAUCUUCAAACCUUGUUAUGAUAUGUGGCCAAGUUUGAGAUGCCACAUCAUCGUUGACUCUUCUCCAUUUGAUGCGACACACGCAUCAGCCUCCUGUAGUGUUUCUUAUUUAAGCAUGAAUAGAUUAGCACCGAUCUUUUCUGCCUUCAUCAAUACAAGCGCUCCUUUAACAAUUUUCAUAAUUCCAUUCUCCACAUGAGUUUUGUACCCAUGACUAUCCAUUUGUCCCAAAGACAAUAGAUUUUUCUUCAAGCCGUUGACAUGUCGUACCUCCUCAAUUGUGCGAAUUGUACCAUCAAACAUUUUUAUUUUGAUAGUACCAGUACCAGCGAUCUCCAAGGCAUGAUCAUCUCCCAUAUAUACAAAUCCUCCUGAAAUAGGUUCAUAUGUGUGGAACCAUUCUCUCCGAGAGGUCAUGUGCCAGGUAGCUCCUGAGUCUAUAAGCCAGACAUCAGAUAGUCGUUUUCUGCCUUCUGAAAUAGUUGUUGCCUCGCUGUAGAGAAUUUCGCCAUCAUUUGAGGUACUUGCUACACACCCCUAAGCAUUUGAUGACUCAGGUUCUUUAACCUCUCUUAUCUUCUGGUUACUCCAACACUCCUUUUUGACGUGCCCUUUCUUGUCACAGUUAUAUCAUUUAACAUUCUUCUUACUUCUGGAUUUUAAUCUACCAUGAUUUUGACUCCCACUGAGGCCACAUUUCGUUGAUCUCCCUCUCGUCACCGAUAGCGCCUCUGCUUGCUGUGAACUUGCUUGUCUGUUUUCUUUAUUUUUCUGCCUGCUCUCCUCAUUUAAUACGGAGGCUGCAAAAUCAUCGAAAACUAUACUGUCCAUUGGAUUGUUGUUCGUCAGGUUGAUGAUGAGUUGAUCAUACGAAUCUGGUAGACUUUGAAGUAGAAGCUCUGCACGUUCAUUUUCCUCUAUAUUAUGACCGAACGUUGUGAGUUGUGAAAAUAGAGUCUUCAAGGUGUUGAUGUGGUCGGUCACCAUUGUAGAUUCCGCCAUUCGAAGAAUAUAGAGUUUUCUCUUCAAGAAGAUUUUGUUGUGUAGUGACUUGGCCUCGUACAAUUUUGUGAGAGUAUCCCAUAUUUCCUUUGUUGUACUUUUCUCUACCACACUGAAUAAUACUCCAUCUGCAAGUGCCAAGUGUAGAUCAGAAAUGGCGUUGCCAUCUAUCUCGUUCCACUUGUCAUCAGCUAUCUCCAUGGGCCUUUCUCCAAUUGCUGCCAAGCAAUUAUUUUUCCUCAAUACAACUUUUAUCUUCAUUUUCCACAACGAAAAAUUAUUUCCGUUAAACUUCUCAAUUUUAUACUUUGCCGCCAUUUUGUUGAUAAAUAUCGCACACAAGUUAGUGUACCACCUUGAAUAGUUGUGAGUAUGUGUGAGAAUUCACACCAGGAAAGUUCCCAGGAAAGACUGGAGGGGUCACAAUGGUCCCACUUAAAACCCAGACUCCUUAAGCUCUUAUCGCCUUUGUGACAGAACUUUCCUAGACAUGUACAAAAACCACACAGUUGUUUUACUCACACCACUAUUCCCUGCUUUGCAUCGCAAAAUUCUUGGACCGCUCCCACCGUUUCAUGUGAAUAGUACAGUAUACGUGAAUUGUACAGUAUAUGUGAAUAGUGUCAUAUACGUGAACAGUGCCAUAUACAUGAAUAGUACCCCCUUACGUGAACAGUACCAGACUUAAAAAAAAUACAACCAAUAGCUCUGAUACCACUGUUAGGAAAUUGGUGGGUGAAGCAGGACCGCAGCUAAAAUAAAAUUGGAAGAAAUAAAGAAUAAGCACAAAAAAGAAUACCAGAAAUUACGUGGUUCGGUUUUUAGCCUACGUCCACGGGCGAAAACAGAAGGAAAUAUUUUACUAGUGAAAUAAAGAUUACAAAUAUUAUAAUAUUUUGGCUCACUACCCAAAACCCCAAUAUACUCAAUCUCUCACUCACUAAUUACACAAGAGUAUUAAAACUCUUAAUCUCUCACACAAUUCUUUCUCUUUUACAAAACAGAGAAGAGAAACUUAAAGAAAAAAUGGAAUGAAUUUGCUCGUUCCCUUCGUUUAUAUUUAUAGAGAAAGUUUUGGCACUAUUCAUCAAUGAUAUAUUUUUUUUUCUUUAGACGGCACCUCCCAAUUUUUUUUCUUCUUUCUCUUUUGUUUCCUUCUUUUUUGUUUCCUUCUUUGGGCUGCUGCCAAAGCCAUGUUUAUUUCUUUGGGCGGCUGCCAAAGCCAAUUUGAUUUUGGCUAGGCCACCACCGGCUUUGACAUUGACUAGUAUCAUCUUCCUCGAUGGUACACUAGAACGCAUUCUCCAUUGCUAUUUAUUCAAAUGCACUAACCUGGGCUUCUUUUGCAUUGUGUUUAAACUAGUCCCAUUUUAAGGGGUUUUUUUUUUCUCCUCUCUAUUCUUUUCCCUAUUUCAGGUAAUAACAAGUGAAUUAGUUAUUCCGCCGUUGUUGUUCCUUUUGAUAUAUUCUUUCACAUGGGGUUGUUCAUUUUUCUUGUUUCUUGUUCUUUUUGGAACUUCCAUUGAAGCAAGUAAAGUCAUUUUACUUAUAAGCUGCUGCAAGCUGUUAAAAAAGAUGGCAAUUAAUUAGUUUCUCAUUUUCUUGUUGAUGAAGCCUGUAUAUGAAUAAAUUACGCGCUAGCUUGUCAUUUUGUUAUUAAAACCUUUAUAUGGCAUGUUCUGCUUUCUGUUUUCUAUUUUUUUUUUGUGAGAAAAUUUUCUAAAUACUUAAUUUUUCUUUUUCCCCUGAAUAUCUACAGAAUGAUUGCUAGAACAACGAUGGGCCAAUGGUUCAAUCUUUUAGUAUGUGCACUCUUAAUACUGAAAGCUCAAGCAUGCUUUAAUGUAUCAAUCACCUAUGUUGAAGAUGCUGUAGCGAAAGGAGCUGGUGGGGAUUAGUACAUAUUUAUAUUGAUGCUUCAUUUUGUGAUUUUCCGUUACUGCGUACUGUAGUUUGUUAGCUGUUUAAUAUGUUUUGCAGUCUGUUUGGAUGGCAGCCCACCUGCUUACCAUUUUGAUAAGGGGUUUGGUGCCGGGAUCAAUAAUUGGUUGGUGCACAUUGAUGUAAUGUCCUCCUCUAUGUAAAAACAUUUCUUAUAUUCACUGCAACUUUAAAUGAUAUGGAUGAAGAGUAAUCAGUCUUACAUAUUAUAGUCAUAAGAAUUCUGGUGAUGUUUACAUUUACCAUUCAUGCUUGUAUUCAUCAUAUACUUUUUUGUUGAUUCAAUUUGCCUUUGGCUUCGGGUUCUUAGGGAGGAGCAUGGUGUAACAAUGUCGCAGAUUGUUCUAACCGAAGGGAUUCCUCACAUGGUUCAUCUAAGUAUAUGGUGAAGGAAGCUAAUUUUACUGGGAUACUAAGUAAUGAGCAGAAAUUUAACCCAGGUAUGACCUUUUUGUGUCGCUUAUUGAUUUGAUUGAUGCAAAUCAAUAAAUUCCCCUUUCCAUUUCUAGACUUCUACGAUUGGAAUAGAGUCAAGGUUAGAUACUGCGAUGGGGCAUCGUUUACUGGAGACGUAGAGGCUGUCAAUCCAGUAAGUUAACUUUUGCCAAAAUUUUCUUAUAUACAUAUUCUUGGGUUCUCUCGUGUGAUAUUUAGUUAGUGAUUUGAUCAGGAAACUAACCUUCACUUCAGAGGAGCAAGGGUUUUUGAAGCUGUCAUGGAGGAUCUAUUGGCUAAAGGAAUGAAAAAUGCUCAAAAUGUAAGAUCAUUCUGUUUUUGUUUUUAAAAAUAUGUUCAUUAGAUUGAUAUGUUUGAUAACUCAUUCGCACUUAUGACAGGCUAUACUUACUGGUUGUUCCGCUGGGGGUUUGACUUCGAUUUUGCAUUGCGAUAACUUCCGAGCUCUCUUUCCCGUUGAUACUAGAGUAAAAUGCUUUGCAGAUGCUGGCUAUUUUGUGAAUGUGUAAGCUCCUGUUCUUUCAUCAACCAUGAUGUGGCAGUUGCUUCAGUUGUUUUUCUUUUCCGAAAUCUGAUUCCCUGGUGUAUUUUUCAAUAGGAAGGAUGUUUCUGGAGCAAGUCACAUUGAGGAGUUUUAUAAACAAGUGGUCGCAUUACAUGUACACACUCUGUCUCUCAUCCUCUUUCAUGCUUACCGACACAAAAUAAUGUUGUUACAUCUUGUGUAGGGAUCGGCUAAGCAUUUGCCAGCAUCCUGCACUUCGAGAUUAAGUCCAGGAUUGGUGAGUUCCACCAUUUUAAUGUUUCUACGUUCUAGUCUUCAUCCAUUCGUUUAUGGACUGACCGAUUCCUUUUAAAAUGACAGUGUUUCUUCCCACAAAACGUAGCAGGGCAAGUCAAGACACCGCUAUUUAUCAUCAACUCAGCUUAUGAUUCAUGGCAGGUUAGCAUAGUUCUUCAAUGUCUAAGAUCCAAUGACAGAAAAUGUGAUACAUAAGCUUAGUGCAAGAAGAUAAUUUUUUGUACUUAAGUGACAUAUCAAGUGAAGCUUGAUUCUUGGGCCUUCUUGCACAAGCAAAAAGAGACUGGUGGAAGAUUGGCACAUUUUUGAUAUGUUAUAUUCGAAGCCACUGAAUAAUUUCAAUAAAUUAUGUGCAAUUUCAAUCUGGUAAUAUUGUUACAAGCGGAAAAUGGCGUGCACAGAUAAGGAACAUUUUGGUUCCGGACAAUGCUGAUCCGAAAGGAACUUGGAGGCGCUGCAAGAAGGAUAUAAAAAUGUGCUCAUCUACUCAGCUGCAAACUAUGCAAGGUAAUUCCCCAAAGCCCCGGAUUACUGCUUUCCACAAAAGACCUUUUUCAUUUUAUUGUUGAUAAUUCAAAGUGUCAAUUCUCGUUGUAUACUUUUCAGGUUUUAGGGUGCAAUUCCUGAAUGCAUUGGCCGGACUUGGCAACUCUUCAUCCAGAGGAAUGCUUAUAGACUCUUGUUAUACUCACUGCCGAACCGUGUUUCAGGAGGCUUGGUUGAGUGCUGACUCUCCGGUGCUGGAUAAAACGGUACGAGUUAUGAUUUCAUCGUUUUGACUUGUUUCCUUUAACAUCUUGAAGUACCAUUGAUUCCCAUUUUUAAGGAUUGAAAAUAUGUUCUACGCAGCCUAUUGCAAAGGCAGUGGGAGACUGGUAUUACGACAGGAAUCCAUUCCAAAAGAUUGAUUGCCCUUACCCCUGCAACCCAUUGCCAGAGAGUUGCUUUUGAAUGGACCUAUUAAUGUAAUGUACACACACAUAAAAUUACAGACCUUGUGUCAAAGCAGAACAAAAUGUAAGAGUCAAGAUCAUUGAGUAGUCAUCAAUGAGCUUGACUGAGUAAGAAUAAAAUGGAUAAAGAGUAUAUGAUUGAUUGAUCAAGUCAAUGAAAUAAUUAAACAGAGGCAACCACCGCACUCAACUUAUGUGCUGGGUGUCUUCUAUCAUUUUCUUAUGUAAUUUAUUUUUCUUAUGUAAUUUAUUGUUGUAACUUCAGUGAAAUAAAUAUUCCAUUUCUUGUUGUUGGAUUGUUGGCAGUAGACGAUCAAUUAUUUAGGAAUCAUUUUGUUUAAUUUUAGUAAUGUCCUAAGACCAUCCUUUUUCCUUUUAACCUUUCACAGUGUGAACUAGUGUGUAUGCAUAGUUAUUUUUUGCUGCAUAAAUAACCAAGUUUAAUUAAAGCUAAUAUUAUAAAAAUAAAAUGCUCUUGCGUCUUGGCACCUUUUUUUCCCCCCUUAAAAUAAUACACUAAAUUACUUAAAUUUUUUAAAAUUAACUACUCUAAUUUUUUUUAUAAUUUCAGAAGUAUUUUAUGCAAUCAAUAAAAUAAGGGAAAUUAUCAUUGCACUACCUUCCUUUUACCUUAUGAUCAUUUAACCACCACAAAAUUUUAACAUGUUCUUUGCACCACCUUUCUUUUUAAAUUUAUAUCAAUUAGCCACUUUUGCACUAACACCGUUGAAUAAUUUAAAUGAAAUGACAAUCCAGAAAUUAUAUAAAACGGUAUUUUAAUUUAAUUAGGGGUAAAUUUGUUAUUUUGUUUAAAUUAUUCAACGGUGUUAGUGCAAAAGUGGCUAAUUGAUACAAAUUUAAAAAAAAAAAAGUGAUGCAAAGAACAUGUUAAAAUUUUAUGGUAUUUAAAUGAACAUAAGGUAAAAGGAAGGUGGUGCAAUGAUAAUUUCACCUAAAAAAAUAGUAUUUUUUUUUGGAAAAAAACAAAGAAUAUUUUUUGAACAAAAAAAUUCACCAAUUUGAAGUUCAUAUCAAAAUAACACUAAAAGUUCACUCUUCAUGUCUUUAAGAACGUAGAUUAAUUAUAUUACACUACAACAUUUUAGUUCAUACUCCCAAAUAUCCCCAAAAAAAAAUGUGACAGACAUCUAUCCAUACCUUAAAUUUCAUCUUAAAUGAUGUGUCAUUCAAUAAAUUAUUUUUUUAUAAUAUUUAAAAAAUUAAUUUUUUAUAAUAAAAAAAUCUUUUAGUAAUUAAAAAGAAAAUACCAAGAAACUCCAGCUCUUGACAUGAGAUAUUAAAAAAAAAUUAUAAUGUGCCGUCAAGAUACAUAUCUUAGUAAUGGCGUGAUAUCAUUUGUAGAAGGCCCAAAUUUGAAGACGGUCCGUCCUUGGCCCACCCCACAAUUUCACCAUUGCAUACUUACAUUGACAAUAAAUACUCUUCUCUCGGGGUUUUUAAUUAAAGAUGCCCUAAAAAUGAGGUAUUUAGUUAAAUAUAUCUCAUGGUUGAAAAUUAUUUAUAUAUACUUUUUUAUGUGGUACAUUAUCUAAAAUGCCUCUAAAGAAAAAUAUAAAACACGUAAUUAAAGAUGCUCUAAAAAUGGGGUAUUUAGUUAAAUACCAACUGUAAUAGUCUAUUUAGGCUAAGCAUUCCUUAAAUUAUAUGAUCCUCAUAUUAUAUCACAUAAAUUGUACAAAACUAUCUUGUUGUCUUUGAAUAUUACACUUAACAAAAAAUAAUUUAACACUACUAGUUAGAAAUACCUAACUAUAAUCUUGUGUCUAUGAAAAUAUUCAACUAUAGUCGUGUACCUAUAAAAAUACCUGACUGUAUUAAUGUAUUUUAGCCAGUCAUUCCUUCAAUAUAUAUGAACACCCUGAUCUAUAACAGACAUUAUACAAAAUUAUCUUCUUUCUCAAUAAUAUACUUAAGCAAAAAAAAAACAUGAAUACUGAUGUAAAAUCAUCUUUAAUGAUAUCAAAUGUCAAUGACAUUCCCAUUGCAACUAUUAUAUCUCAUGUUAAUUAAUCCAAAAAAUGGCAAAAUCACAACAAUGAAGUUUUUAAGGAUACGACACUAUGUAGUUGGUUUCAACGACCUGUGUCCAAAUAAUUUGAUAGCCAAUGCUUUUCGAAAUUAUGACACUAUGUAGUUGGUUUCAACGACCUGUGUCCAAAUAAUUUGAUAGCCAAUGCUUUUCGAAAUUAUGUAACAUCAUCAUAUUGACAAAAUGUGUUCACGUCAAGGCCAUAGGCUAGGACCUCCAAGUACUACAACAAAAAUGCUUCACAAUAAAAUUCAUAUACAUCAAUAAUAAAAUCACCAUUCUUAUUGAAAUAUAUAUAUAUAUAUGUGUGUGUGUGUGUGUGUGUGUGUGUGUGUGUGUGUGUGUGUGUGUGUGUGUGUGUGUGUGAUAUACUCAAUUGCAUCCCCUGAUUUUAUUGCAGGAUAUUACGUACUCACAAGGAUGAUCUUUAUUUAUGUCUUCUACUGCAGGAUAUUACGUACUCACAAGGAUGAUCUUUAUUUAUGUCUUCUACUGCAUCUAGUGAUAAUCAAUUAGAAAUAUUUGCUUUGAAGUAUUUAGAUUCCUUAAUUUUCAGUUCCCAUCUGCAUAAACAUAAAAUAUUUUAAUUAUAAUAUAAAACGACCAAAAAGUUGGAUAAUAACAUAUUCUAAACCAAUAAAAAAAAUUACACGACACACCAGUCGAGUAAAGCAUUCAUAACACAACUACAGUCGAGUAAAACAUUCAUUACGCAACUAUAGCCGAGGAAAGUAUUCAUUACAUGAUUACAGCCGAGUAAAGCAUUCAUUACACGAUUACAACAAGCAUAAAAUAUGUUUUGACUUCUAUAUUUCCUUGGAUUUAAAUCAUUUCAUGAUAAUACAUAAUGCUUACAACAUAAAACUACAUAAAAGCUAAAUAUGUUUUGACUUCUAUAUCUCCUUGGAUUCAAAUCUCUGUACAGAAUUUUAAGUGGAUGACAGUAUAGAAAAGAAUUUACUUUAAUAUGGCUUGUCAACGAAUAGAGAGAAUGAAUGAAAAUUUUGUUUAUUAUAAAAAAUAUAUUGAUGGACCAUUAAAAAGCCAAAUGGUCAUUUAAUCAUUAACAUAUUAUUUGAAAUCCAUUCAAUAUGGGUAAGAAAUAAUUAGAAUUGUAAAUUGAAGGUUCCAUAGCAAAUAAUAGAGAAAACCCAGAUUGCGACAUAAUGAACGCAUACACAGCUGAAGAAAAUUAAUAUAUAAUUUCCAUGGAUGAAGUCCAACUACAAACAAUAAAUAAAAUUAAACACAUAUCUAAUAGAUAAAUCAGUGUAGCCAUAAUCGAGUAGUCACAAGGAUAAUAUUUGUUUUAUCCAAUUCCCUUUGAAUAUUUAAUUAGGAACUCCUAUAACCAUUACAAGGAGAGUAAACUCCCUUGAAAUAACUCUCUUCAAUUUCAACUCCGCAAGUUCAAGAAGCUUCAUUACAUGAAUCAUGAAGAAACAUUAUCAGCAAGCAUGCAAGUGAAACAAAUAACUCGGCCAACUACAAUAAUGACCAAAAUCACGUGGGCAAUUUAUUUUUUAAAACCCUAAUGCAUAUAACCCCAACAAUUAUGAAUCCUAAAUUCUCUUUAUGAAGUAAAAAUUAAGUGUAAAUGUGGUAAAUAAUCUUUAAUUCGGUGAAUUUCCAGCCUUCAGUUUAGUGAAUUUCCAAUGAAAGUAGUGGAUUUGUGGUGUUAGAACCAGCAGCAAAAGAAGCACAAACUUACAGCAGCAGAAGUAUCCUGGGCAUUGAAAUAUCUGUGAUUUUGAAAUAUUAGAUUUUGAAUUGGGGUAAUUCUGUAAUUGCACAUUGAGAAAUUUUAGGGUCUAGCUAUGGUACCACUGUAGUAUCAUGUGUCACUAUAGUUGGAUUCAAUGGUUGGAUUCAGCUGUGGUACCAUAGUUUUGCUCGAAAUUUUGAAUUAUGAGGAUGUAUUAGGUAAAUACCCUACUUUUGGGGUAUGGCGUGGACAAAUUCCUGCUUCUCUCUCAAUCUCAAAAACACAACCUUCGCCCUUCGGUUGCAGUUGCAGUGUUAAUGGAUUGGAGUUUUGUACACACAACUUGGGAAAAAUGGGCUUCUACCAGUGUUGGCUCUUCCGGUAAUGUACCCUCCAAGAACCCCCUCGGGCUUUUCAUUAUUUUAGUUAUUACCACGUUAGAUAUAUUAGAUUUAUAAUUUAUAUAAUAAAAGGCUGCUGAUCAUGCCAGUGCAAGAGCUAUAGAGUAAGCAGCCAUUGAUUUUUGUUUCUAAAUUUUGCUUGUAGGUGAGCCCUUGAAGGCGGCUUUGCUUAUCAACCAGGACCCCACUGGUCCCUCUCGUUUGUUAUCCACUAUGUCAGCUUCGUGCUUUUUUUUUUUUUUUAAUAUAUAUUUUAAAUACCCUUUUAUAUAUAUGUUGUUCUGUUCAUAAGCAGUGAAAUUUUGAAGCUUCGUUAUGGUUUGUGCAGUGCAGAACAAGAAAGGUAUCAAGGCCGACGCGAUUGACUUGACUGAAUUUGUUGAUUUUGUCAAACUCAAUAAACUUCAGACUGACUGCUUUGUUAUUGGACAAAAAACCAAUGCAAGCUAUUCGUGUCUCCUUUACAUUUGUGAGUGAAAUUCAAUUGUUGGACUUGAAUUUUGCGGUGAAUUAUUUAUUAUUGCUAGAGUUGCUAGUAAGUUGAUCGUAAUGGUUUUAUCAUAUUGAUGACAAUUGACGCAGACAUAGUUACCUCGAUUCAUGAGAAUAUGACAAUUUUUAUAAGAGGAAAAGAGAGAGUCGUUCUCUUAAUCAAGAAAAAUACCAUUAAAUCUAGAAUAUAAAAAUUAAUGGCUGAAAAAUUAACGUGUGCGUGAUCUAUGGUCAAAUAUUCUAAAUCCUUGAAAUUAAAAUAACUUGAAAAAUUAAUAUUGAAAAAAAAUAAAUGAAAUUGUCACUUUCGAUCACAUAAUCAAUGAAAAUCAGGAUAUAAUCAACACCUAUUUAUUUUAUUUCUAAAUUAUGACUUUUUCAUUAUUAUUCAAAGAAGGGAGUUUUUCUUUAAAAAACUCUCACCAUAAUAUAAGUGGCUUAAACCUUUUUUUGUUUUGAAAUAUAAAUUAACUUAAAAGCAAACAAGUAACAAAAUUAUCUUUUAAGAAGGCUUUAUAUAUGUAGAGGGGACUAGUCCACCUAUGUCAAUUCUUCCAAGUUAGUGAAAUUGUGUGACUUUAUUUAAUUAGAAGGAGCAACAACUUCAAUCUCUAUUUAUACGUCAUUAUCCUUUAGCUAUAUUUGUGCGACUUUAUUUAUACGUAGGGAAAUGAGUUAACAAGUUAUAUUUUCCAAGCACCAAGGUAAAUUACUCCUUAGGUCAUUAUGGUCAAUAAAUGAGUCUUCAUUUUACAAUUAAUAAAUGUAUAAAAUAUUUGAACUAAUUAAUAGUAUAGUAUUAUAUAUGUUAAAUUCUUCAAAAAGUAAGAUAGAAUGUAUACUUGAUAAUUUCGUUCUACUAAUUUAAGUUAAGUUUAUUGAGUAUUCCAGUUAUUUUAAGCUAAAAUGGACAUUUUCAUAAUUUUAUCACAUAAUCAAACGAAUAAGUGUAUAUUUUAAGAUGGUAAAGAUAGUCAAUAGGUAAACUUAAAGGAAAAACUAAUGGCAAGGUUGGUUUAAUGAGUUUUCAAAAUAUUGGUGGUGGAAUAACGAUAAUUAAUUUAUUUAGGUGUGCAAUUGAAUUUUGAUAUGUACUAGUGGUGCAAAAAAAUAAUAAAUUCAAGUUGAGUCAAAGGCAUGGUAAGAACGCAGACUCUCCAAAGCCCACGACAUAGAUUAUCUAAUGAUUUUUUUAAUUUAUAAAAUUAAAAAAAGAGUUAAUGUUGACUUCGUUUUACCCCAAAAAAAAAAAAAAAGUAUGACACUAUUAGGCAUCAAUUUCAAAAUAACGCGGUUUGAUCAACUCCAAUUUAUGAUGUUAUUAUCAAAUGAUAAAAUUUUCUAAUUUUUAGAAGUCGUUUCUUAUCAAAUAAUCAGGGAUUGAAAUAAAUAGCAUAAAAUAACAAAAAUAAGAAAGUUAAGUUGAUGUCCACUGAUUUGUGUAAGUAAAAAGUUUGACUCUUAAAAAGACAUUAAUUUCAUGAGAGACAAUAACGCCAUUUUGAUCCUCUCUAUAAUUAAUGAUGUUAUUUUCAAAUAACAAAAUUAUCUAGCUUUUGGAAAUCUUGGAGAGAAACUAAUUUGGUCGGUUUCUUGAUUAAUGAUUUGAUGGUCAUCGAAUAAUGCAUGACUUGGAAAGAUCUUCCCCCGUUCUUCAAGUUAUUAUUUGACUUUGUUAGUAAAAGGCCUAUCAGAAAGGUUUUUAAAUUCUGGUCUUCUGAGAUUAAAUUAAGUCACAGUUUAAGUUAUCUCAAGAAUAUGGGUUUGGUCAAAUUUUUCUCAGUUAUCUCAAUAUUGUUGCUAAUUCAUUGGCUAAUCAAAGACACAGUUGCAAAAAUUCCUCUUGGAGAAAAUUGAGGAAAAUCUUCUUGAAGAUGGCUAAAUUAUAAAAAGAUAGUACAUGGUGGCCGGACGGAUUAUAAAUUAAGUAAAUAUAUCUAACUUCGUUAAAAUUAAAGCUUCAUAAGACAUAACUAAUGCUCUGUAUGAUUUUAUUAUUGGCUUCCGAAAUUGCACGAUGGGACAGUUGAAAGCAUUUUCCAUUUACUACUUCUUCGAAUUGACUAGUAUCAUCUUCCACGAUGGUACAGUAGAACGCAUUCUCCAUUGCUAUUUAUUCAAAUGCACUAACCUGGCCUUCUUUUGCAUUGUGUUUAAACUAGUCCCAUUUUAAGGGUUUUUUUUUUUUCUCCUCUCUAUUCUUUUCCCUAUUUCAGGUAAUAACCAGUGAAUUAAUUAUUCCGCCGUUGUUGUUCCUUUUGAUAUAUUCUUUCACAUGGGGUUGUUCAUUUUUCUUGUUUCUUGUUCUUUUUGGAACUUCCAUUGAAGCAAGUAAAGUCAUUUUACUUAUAAGCUGCUGCAAUCUGUUAAAAAUGAUGGCAAUUAAUUAGUUUCUCAUUUUCUUGUUGAUGAAGCCUGUAUAUGAAUAAAUUACGCUCUAGCUUGUCAUUUUGUUAUUCAAACCUUUAUAUGGCAUGUUCUGCUUUCUGUUUUCUUUUUUUUUUUUUUUGUGAGAAAAUUUUCUAAAUACUUAAUUUUUCUUUUUCCCCUGAAUAUCUACAGAAUGAUUGCUAGAACAACGAUGGGCCAAUGGUUCAAUCUUUUAGUAUGUGCACUCUUAAUACUGAAAGCUCAAGCAUGCUUUAAUGUAUCAAUCACCUAUGUUGAAGAUGCUGUAGCGAAAGGAGCUGGUGGGGAUUAGUACAUAUUUAUAUUGAUGCUUCAUUUUGUGAUUUUCGGUUACUGCGUACUGUAGUUUGUUAGCUGUUUAAUAUGUUUUGCAGUCUGUUUGGAUGGCAGCCCACCUGCUUACCAUUUUGAUAAGGGGUUUGGUGCCGGGAUCAACAAUUGGUUGGUGCACAUUGAUGUAAUGUCCUCCUCUAUGUAAAAACAUUUCUUAUAUUCACUGCAACUUUAAAUGAUAUGGAUGAAGAGUAAUCAGUCUUACAUAUUAUAGUCAUAAGAAUUCUGGUGAUGUUUACAUUUACCAUUCAUGCUUGUAUUCAUCAUAUACUUUUUUGUUGAUUCAAUUUGCCUUUGGCUUCGGGUUCUUAGGGAGGAGCAUGGUGUAACAAUGUCGCAGAUUGUUCUAACCGAAGGGAUUCCUCAUAUGGUUCAUCUAAGUAUAUGGUGAAGGAAGCUAAUUUUACUGGGAUACUAAGUAAUGAGCAGAAAUUUAACCCAGGUAUGACCUUUUUGUGUCGCUUAUUGAUUUGAUUGAUGCAAAUCAACAAAUUCCCCUUUCCAUUUCCAGACUUCUACGAUUGGAAUAGAGUCAAGGUUAGAUACUGCGAUGGGGCAUCGUUUACUGGAGACGUAGAGGCUGUCAAUCCAGUAAGUUAACUUUUGCCAACAUUUUCUUAUAUACAUAUUCUUGGGUUCUCUCGUGUGAUAUUUAGUUAGUGAUUUGAUCAGGAAACUAACCUUCACUUCAGAGGAGCAAGGGUUUUUGAAGCUGUCAUGGAGGAUCUAUUGGCUAAAGGAAUGAAAAAUGCUCAAAAUGUAAGAUCAUUCUGUUUUUGUUUUUAAAAAUAUGUUCAUUAGAUUGGUAUGUUUGAUAACUCAUCAGCACUGAUGACAGGCGAUACUUACUGGUUGUUCCGCUGGGGGUUUGACUUCGAUUUUGCAUUGCGAUAACUUCCGAGCUCUCUUUCCCGUUGAUACUAGAGUAAAAUGCUUUGCAGAUGCUGGCUAUUUUGUGAAUGUGUAAGCUCCUGUUCUUUCAUCAACCAUGAUGUGGCAGUUGCUUCAGUUGUUUUUCUUUUCCGAAAUCUGAUUCCCUGGUGUAUUUUUCAAUAGGAAGGAUGUUUCUGGAGCAAGUCACAUUGAGGAGUUUUAUAAACAAGUGGUCGCAUUACAUGUACACACUCUGUCUCUCAUCCUCUUUCAUGCUUACCGACACAAAAUAAUGUUGUUACAUCUUGUGUAGGGAUCGGCUAAGCAUUUGCCAGCAUCCUGCACUUCGAGAUUAAGUCCAGGAUUGGUGAGUUCCACCAUUUUAAUGUUUCUACGUUCUAGUCUUCAUCCAUUCGUUUAUGGACUGACCGAUUCCUUUUAAAAUGACAGUGUUUCUUCCCACAAAACGUAGCAGGGCAAGUCAAGACACCGCUAUUUAUCAUCAACUCAGCUUAUGAUUCAUGGCAGGUUAGCAUAGUUCUUCAAUGUCUAAGAUCCAAUGACAGAAAAUGUGAUACAUAAGCUUAGUGCAAGAAGAUAAUUUUUUGUACUUAAGUGACAUAUCAAGUGAAGCUUGAUUCUUGGGCCUUCUUGCACAAGCAAAAAGAGACUGGUGGAAGAUUGACACAUUUUUGAUAUGUUAUAUUCGAAGCCACUGAAUAAUUUCAAUAAAUUAUGUGCAAUUUCAAUCUGGUAAUAUUGUUACAAGCGGAAAAUGGCAUGCACAGAUAACGAACAUUUUGGUUCCGGACGAUGCUGAUCCGAAAGGAACUUGGAGCAGCUGCAAGGUGGAUCUAAAAACCUGCUCAUCUACUCAGCUGCAAACUAUGCAAGGUAAUUCCCAAAAGCCCCGGAUUACUCCUUUCCACAAAAGACCUUUUCCAUUUUAUUGAUGAUAAUUCAAAGUGUCAAUUCUCGUUGUAUACUUUUCAGGUUUCAGGGUGCAAUUCCUGAAUGCAUUGGCCGAACUUGGCAACUCUUCAUCCAGAGGAAUGCUUAUAGACUCUUGUUAUACUCACUGCCGAACCGAGUAUCAGGAGGCUUGGUUGAGUGCUGACUCGCCGGUGCUGGAUAAAACGGUACGAGUUAUCUGUUUCCUUUAACAUCUUGAAGUACUACUGAUUCCUAUUUGUAAUGAUUGAAAAUAUGUUCUACGCAGCCUAUUGCAAAGGCAGUGGGAGACUGGUAUUACGACAGGAGUCCAUUCCAAAAGAUUGAUUGCCCUUACCCCUGCAACCCAUUGCCAGAGAGUUGCUUUUGAAUGGACCUAUUAAUGUAAUGUACACACACAUAAAAUUACAGAUCUUGUGUCAAAGCAGAACAAAAUUUAAGAGUCAAGAUCAUUGAGUAGUCAUCAAUGAGCUUGACUGAGUAAGAAUAAAAUGGAUAAAGAGUAUAUGAUUGAUUGAUCAAGUCAAUGAAAUAAUUAAACAGAGGCAACCACCGCACUCAACUUAUGUGCUGGGUGUCUACUUACAACAUAACGUUUACAAUGUGCUGGUUUAUUGUGAAAUUUCAAAAAAGCGAUGAAGAAAUAGUUUUUUUCUUAAGUUUUUGCCAAAUGUAUUGAUAAGGUUAGGAGUUGGUAUACAUACAGAUGUUGUAUGCAUGAAGCAUGCUGUGAAGCAUGUUGUGAGACACUGUGGAUCAAUAUGAAUGGUUAUUUGUGACUUUAUUAUGACAGUGCUAUAUUUAUAGCAAGAUAUCUAAAUGAUUUUUUGUAUUACUAGAAUGUUUGACAGUAAAUGGAAGUCGAAAGGGAAUCAGGGUUUGCAUCAUUUUCACUUCUUAGAGCACUAGCGUACAGUAACUAUUUGCAUGUUUAAGGCUGCAAUCAAUGAGCAGAUCAAGUGGCUUCAGUCUAUUGUAUGUUGCUAUCUCUUUGAAAUUCAUUUUUCUAUAUCAUUUUAUCUUCUUUUUGUCUUUAUAUCAAUUAAGUUAUUACUUGUCUUUUUGGGUUUGUAUUAUAGUGUGGAAUUCAACGUGCUCUAUGUACCACCCCAUGUAUGCCUAUAAUGCUUAGGAUAAUUUUGCUCUCAGGAGCCUUGCCUAGCAAUUACUUAGAACUCAUAUUUUUCCUAACUUUGUCGCUACUUUGAUUGCAUCAAGCGAUGAAUAAUGUCCUAAUCAGAAUUUUCGAGGGGGAAUUGGGGAAUAUUGACCCCUUCAAAGUUUGAAAAACAAGAGAAUGAAGACUCCUUAUAUUGUACGGUACUAUGAUAUGCUCCGUAAGGUUUUUUUUUAACUAAACAAGUGACAUUAAAUUUUAUUUUUUAUGUCGAUGAUACGUGGGUGUAACUAAUAUAUAGGGAGUAAUUGUAGUAGUGCCUGAAGAGAACACGAAAUAUAGUCAACCUAAAAAAUAAAAGCCAAUUUUUUAUUUAUUUUUUAUUUUAUUUCAUCUCACUCGAAUUUUAUAAAAUUAGUGGGUUUGUUGUAACUAAUCUUAUUUGUCCCUUUGAAAUAACUGAUAAUACUCUUAUCACCGAAUGUUUAACAGACUCGAAACGUCGUAACAUAACUACCACGUCAAACAAACGCGUAGCUUGAGCCGUGAGCUACAACCGCAUAACCGUUACAUAUGUAGAGCAGUACGAAGCGGUGCAGUUAAAGCAAGCGUUUAAGAAGUGAUUUAAGCUGAUGCAGGCGUAAAGUAUAAGAAGAAUAAAACAACAUGCUUUUACUGUAGCCAACAAAAAAUGGAGCUUUCUACCAAGUUAUUGUAUUCAAAAGCUUCUGGGCUGUGCCAUUUGGCUUUUGAAUUUGGUCAACAAAAUUUGAUUAUGUUGAUUAACAGUCAAAUUUUGAUUUUAGCUCCUUGAGUCAUGUGGAGCACACAUGUUGUCUGUAAAGAAGUAUAAGGUCUACCUCUCAAAGCUUCUUUAAAAUUAGAUUUUUAAAUAAUAAUUUUGUCAAAUAUGGUACAAAAAACUGUAUUUUCUAGACUGAAGUUGCAAGUAUUUACCAAACGGAGCUUAAUGUAUGUUGAACAAUUAUGAUGGUUUCUAUGGUUUUAUCUGAACAAUAAUUUGGAAUAUAUGCUAUGUAGCACAGCAUUUUCAGAGGAAUAUUGUUCGUGGCAUUGAAGGGUUUGCUGCAGUAAGCUUGAAACAAAUGGAAAUAGGUUGUUUGUUUGCUCUUGCGUUCGUUAUAAUAUUUGAUUUUUUUUUUUUUUUCUUGACUAGUUCUUGUGUACAAUAUUUUUGUAUUCAAAUAUUGUAGCGAGAAAGUUGGCUGAAGAUUGUUGCAAGUAUGGAGCAGAGAAUCAAAGUGACAAUUCUUGCGUUGCAAGAGCUGCUCUUCAAUUUGGCACUUCACAUGAUUUGAUGGAAAUGAGAGGGAAACUUUGCUCGGGAUUCUUCGUGAUCAGGUUAGUUCAUCCCUAACUAGAAAAUAAUUCAAAUAUAGAAAAUUAUAUGUAAAAUUAUUAUCGAAACUAUUAUCUUCUCAUAAGGAAACUUAGUUCUAAGAUAUUGAAUAAAAGAAUCCAUUUUAAAGUUACAACUCUGAAAUAUUUGAUGUUUUCCAUUACAAUCAUUGCUAGUGACAUCCAUGACUUAAUAAUUUUAUUGGUUCAAAUGUUGAAGAGACCUUGUGACUUCUUACAUCACUAGCAAACACUAGCGUGUGACAAGUUAUUGGCCAUGAGUUCUCUCAAUUGACUCCAAGCAUUUUCGAUAAAGACACUUGCAUCUAUAGUAAAAUCAAAUCCAUGAGACUGAAGGAUGUAUGUGGAUGUCUUACAGGCCUAAUUUAGAUAUUUGCAUAGGUUUAUUUCUAUUUUAACCUUAAAUACAGAAGAGAAGAACAAUAACCUAAUAUCAAUCAUCCUAAGACCCAAAAUUGCAGAAAUUAUCCUUAUAUAUAUUCUUAAAGUAGGCCCAAAUUCCAUGAUUAUGUUGGAGGAACUUUUUAAUUGAGGUUUCGCUCUUUCUUUUCAUUUUUUAACUAUGUUACAGGUUUUUGGACAUGUAGGUAUCUGAACCACUGCGGGCGUUAAUCAACGGAGCACCUUUGGAAGAUGCUCGACACCUGACUCAUCGUUAUGAAAAACUUCGACAUGAAGUUGAACCCCAGAUAAGCUUUGAGGUAACAUAUGCAAGUAUAAGGCAAGAUGAGAAUUAUGUUAGAUUUAUAUUGAAUAUUUUCACCAGGCAGCUGAAGUAUUUAGGCGCCGAUCAAAGAUUAGGGAAUCUGAUAUAUCAGCAGAGAGUGCUGUGAAGCUUCGAAAUGCAGAAGCAAGAUUGACCGAGCUUAAAUCUACAAUAAUGGCUCUUGGUAGAGAAGCGACAGCUACCAUGCUGUCGGUUGAAUCACAGUAGCAACAGAUGACAAUAAUCUAUAAGUUAAUACUUUCAUGUGUGUGCCUAUGCAUGUGCUGACAUUCUGC
rnacentral:lncRNA from 1 species